GCAAACCACCCGUGUGGCAGCUCUUGCGAAAGUCCUGUGCAGGACAGCGCCGGAUGGUCAAGUUAAAUGGGGCGGUCCCUCAUUAAAUUGCACGGCGUUGG
rnacentral:rRNA from 1 species